rnacentral:lncRNA from 14 species
AUGUCGCUGCAAGUUUUCCAACCUUCUCCAUGAGCUGCUUAUUUUUUAACUCCCCAUGAAGCGCCAUGGAACGUCUGCUGGCUUCGAAUCUCUUCGCAUUUUAACUCCCCAUGAAGCGCCAUGGAACGUCUGCUGGCUUCGAAUCUGCCAAUUACUAUCAAUCAUCCGAAUACAAUAACGACGCCAAAGAAAAUAACAUCUGCAAUUUGGAAGACAAGUAAAUGAAGAAUAAAAAAUUUUAACCUUUCGUUUCUCUUUUUUUUCUGAACUCAGCUGUUUGCCCGCCACCAACGCGAAAUGGCUCAAAUCUAGAAAAAUCAUCAGGAAGAGGAAGAUGAACUUAUUUGAGUCUUGAUCAAAAAUCGCAAGAAGCUCCCAGAGAUGUUCAACCACGAGUACAGCAACAGAGCCACACGGAAGUAGAAAAGAUGAUAACCGACAGGCGAUCACCAAUUGAAAAAGUUCGAACAUGAUGAAUAGUCGGCUGCGACUGUCGUCUUUUGGGCGCUGGUUAGGCAGAUUCCGCUAGGGAUUUUUCCAGAAGAUGUCUAUCCAGAAGAUGUCUAAAGUGAAAAGCUGGCUGGGUUCGUCUUGGGUUCGCCUAAAAUUUUUUUAACCCAAAACGCACCGAAGCUGGCUCAAAAGGUGGCAGCGCUCUAACUUUGCCAAAAGGCGCCCAUGUUCGCCCAAAAGACGGCAUUUACCUUAAUUCAACCGAAUAGUGUUCAAGUGACUUUGACUACUGAUCACCUGCUUCGACCCAAAGAUGGCAAUGUUCAGAGGGAGCAGAACCUCCAUGUUCUUCGACGAAGCUAGAAAUUCAAACCAAGGGAACAAAAUUCGUCGACAAAAAAGGCAGGAAUCUCAUAUCGAUGCUAACCAACCUGAAACGAGCCGCGAGCCCGAGAUGGACUCUAUGAGCAUACGAAAGCGCAAAGAAGAAAUCGAGCAUUAACAUCAACUACGAAGGAUUUUCUGGUCUAAUUGAAAAGCAAUUCUUGACGCAGCAUUGGAAGACAAGCGAACGAAUGAUGAGUUGGUACUUCAUCGUAAACUAUUCCCAAAGUUUCUUCUCCGCACUCAGAUGCGGCAUAAACCGAGAAGAAUCAUCAAGAAACUAGAAACUCCCAAAGAUUUUUUUGUGCUGAAUGUGAGAUGAAAACUCGCAGUGUCAUGUUCAAAGAGAUCCUCCGCAUCAGUGCUACAAACAUUUUGAAUGCAAAAAUACGAGAACAAGUUAGUGGUAUCGAUGGGCAGGAAGAUUGACAAGUGCGAAAUUCGUUGGAAGAGAACGAUUCCAUGUUGCAUAAGAAGAUGCUUGUGUUCAAGGAAUCUCCAAGCUCAAAAACCCAAUCUCGAGAUUUCGGAUUGGAUUGCACAGCGACGGGCGUCAGUCAGCUGAAUCUCUAAGAUCGACAUAGGCAGAGGGAAAAACUCCGAAGAUCGCCUGUGAACAACAUCUUUGUUCUCAUCCAAAAAAAUGGCGACUCCUCGACACAGUGGAAUCACAAAAAAGGAUGCUUUGGCUAUCGUCGAAAGCUGCAAAGCCAGAGCCGCAGCAAGUUCCCGAAGAGCACAAGGCACUCAUUGCACCGAGUUUCAAUAUUCAGUUCUCCAAGCUCGCUUCGCCGUCAAGCCAUUGCCAAAUGCUCGAGAGCCGAGUGCCCUGAGCCAGGCAAUUGGAAUGACUCCGAAAGACUCCAAAACAAGUCGAGGACUGGUUAAAACACACCAGCAGGAAAGCCAAGAAGUUCAAGAAGACCAAAAACAAUUUAUAUUUUAUUAUUUUUUAAUGAUAAAUUUGUAA